rfam:Candidatus Buchananbacteria bacterium RIFCSPHIGHO2_01_FTLL_39_14 rifcsphigho2_01_scaffold_1166, whole genome shotgun sequence.
AAAAUUAAAAAAAUUUUUAGUUUUCCGAAGUGAGGUGAGCCUCUCGAUUAAACUCGAGACGUAAUGCCUCCGCUGUCCCGCAACUGUAAUGCCGAAGGCAUUACCCCGAGUGAGGCCGCCUUAGGCGGCUGAAUCGAGGGGUGAAGGUCUAUCGGCUAAGCCAGGUCGAGAAAACUAAGAUUGCUUAUAACCG